AAUGGCUCAUUAAAUCAGCUAUGAUUCAUUGGAUCUGUACCCACACUUACUUGGAUAACUGUGGUAAUUCUAGAGCUAAUACAUGCACCACGUCUCUGACCGCAAGGGAAGAGCGCUUUUAUUAGUUCAAAACCGUGUCGGGCCUCGGUCCGUCACCCCAUUGUGUUGAAUCUGAAUAACUUUGAGCUGAGCGCACGGUCUCCGCACCGGCGCCGCCUCUUUCAAGUGUCUGCCUUAUCAGCUUUCCAUUGUAGGUUAUACCCCUACAAUGGCUAUAACGGGUAACGGGGAAU
rnacentral:rRNA from 1 species